CCUACGGGUGGCAGCAGUGAGGAAUAUUGGUCAAUGGACGAGAGUCUGAACCAGCCAAGUAGCGUGAAGGAUGACUGCCCUAUGGGUUGUAAACUUCUUUUAUAUGGGAAUAAAAUGUUCCACGUGUGGGAUUUUGUAUGUACCAUAUGAAUAAGGAUCGGCUAACUCCGUGCCAGCAGCCGCGGUAAUAAGGAGGAUCCGAGCGUUAUCCGGAUUUAUUGGGUGUAAAGGGAGCGUAGGUGGAUUGUUAAGUCAGUUGUGAAAGUUUGCGGCUCAACCGUAAAAUUGCAGUUGAAACUGGCAGUCUUGAGUACAGUAGAGGUGGGCGGAAUUCGUGGUGUAGCGGUGAAAUGCUUAGAUAUCACGAAGAACUCCGAUUGCGAAGGCAGUUCACUGGACUGCAACUGACACUGAGGCUCGAAAGUGUGGGUAUCAAACAGGAUUAGAUACCCCGGUAGUA
rnacentral:rRNA from 1 species